rnacentral:rRNA from 1 species
CUGGGCUCGAACGGCUGGUCAACGAUCGUGGAAACACGGUUACUCCGCAAGGGGGUCCAGUCGAGGUGCUGCAUGGCUGUCGUCAGCUCGUGUCGUGAGAUGUUGGGUUAAGUCCCGCAACGAGCGCAACCCUCGUCCUGUGUUGCCAUCAUUCAGUUGGGAACUCGCAGGAGACCGCCAGCGAUAAGCUGGAGGAAGGUGGGGAUGACGUCAAGUCCUCAUGGCCUUUAUGUCCAGGGCUACACACGUGCUACAAUGGCCGGUACAAUGCGCUGCUAAGUCGCAAGACGGAGCCAAUCGCAAAAAACCGGUCUCAGUUCGGAUUGCAGGCUGCAACUCGCCUGCAUGAAGCUGGAAUCGCUAGUAAUGGCAUAUCAGAACGAUGCCGUGAAUACGUUCCCGGGUCUUGUACACACGCA